GACGAACGCUGGCGGCGUGCUUAACACAUGCAAGUCGAACGGAAAGGCCUCUUUCGGGGGGUACUCGAGUGGCGAACGGGUGAGUAACACGUGAGUAACCUGCCCUUGACUUUGGGAUAACUUCAGGAAACUGGGGCUAAUACCGGAUAGGAGCUCCUGCUGCAUGGUGGGGGUUGGAAAGCUUCGGCGGUUGGGGAUGGACUCGCGGCUUAUCAGCUUGUUGGUGGGGUAGUGGCUUACCAAGGCUUUGACGGGUAGCCGGCCUGAGAGAGUGACCGGCCACAUUGGGACUGAGAUACGGCCCAGACUCCUACGGGAGGCAGCAGUGGGGAAGAUUGCACAAUGGGUGGAAGCCUGGUGCAGCAACGCCGUGUGCGGGAUGACGGCCUUCGGGUUGUAAACCGCUUUCGCUCAUGACGAAGCUUUGUGUGACGGUAGUGGGUAAAAAAGCACCGGCUAACUACGUG
rnacentral:rRNA from 1 species